AUAAUAAAGACAGCCCUUUGGAGACCUGCCGUGACAACAGACUUCAACAGACCUCUCUAUCUUUGCUGCAUGCGAUGACGUCACAUCUGGUUUUGUCGCAUCUUGUGGGAAAAUACCAGUUUGGAGAAACGGGAAGGAGGGGGCUCACAUGUGCAGGAUCAGCACGAGAAAAGUUUUCUUUCUACGCACUAGAAACAUUAGUGAAGCAACGCCUUUUCACCAUACGUUAACGUGGAAGAGUGAACAGUAAACGGUUAAUCUUACUGCGAUCCUGUCUUCAUUGACUACAGUUUACCUCGG